GUAGGUGGCAAGCGUUGUCCGGGAAUUAUUGGGGCGUAAAGCGCGCGCAGGCGGUUCUUUAAGUCUGAUGCGAAAGCCCACGGGCUCAACCGUGGAGGGUCAUUGGAAACUGGAGAACUUGAGUACAGAUGAGGAAAGCGGAAUUCCACGUGUAGCGGUGAAAUGCGUAGAGAUGUGGAGGAACACCAGUGGCGAAGGCGGCUUUCUGGUCUGUAACUGACGCUGAGGCGCGAAAGCGUGGGGAGCAAACAGGAUUAGAUACCCUGGUAGUCCACGCCGUAAACGAUGAGUGCUAAGUGUUAGGGGGUUUCCGCCCCUUAGUGCUGCAGCUAACGCAUUAAGCACUCCGCCUGGGGAGUACGGCCGCAAAGGCUG
rnacentral:rRNA from 1 species